GUCAAAAUGUUGACGCGUUGCACACACACUGGUCGCGGAGGUUUGAUCGUCUGAUAGCGGACAGCAAACUCCACCCAACAUACACUUGCAAACACAUGCACGCGCACAAACACGCGCGCGCCGAGCAGAGAACCUGUGGAAGGGUGCUCCGCAAAAUACGUGCUGCUCGCACGGCGUCGCGUGGAGAAAAGUUGUGCGGGUCAAAGUCCGGCAGCUCGGGUGCAAGCAAGACGUGUGCCGAAGACAUGGUCCAAACAUGGCCGUAGUCUUAACGAGCGUGCAGGAGAGUGGAUUUGUGGAGGUUCUCGUGCGGGCUCGCUGGCACAAAGUUUGGGCGCACUUAAACGAGGAGGCGCUCACGUUGAGCUGCGAGGACGACGGUGUCAACUCCAACGGAGUCGUCACCAAUGGAUCCUACCUUGACAACAACAAUUCCAACAAUGGUCCGAGGCUGCCGGACCUGCCCGAACCCGUGCCGGAGACCAUCGCCAACAGGAAGCGGUGCGUCAAGGUGACCAAGCAGGACGUCGGCGGACUGGGGAUCAGCAUUAAAGGCGGCCGGGAGAAUAAGAUGCCCAUCCUGAUCAGUAAGAUCUUCAAGGGGUUGGCUGCGGACCAGACGCAAGCGCUGUACGUCGGGGACGCCAUCCUGUCUGUCAACGGGAUCAACCUGAGGGACGCGAGCCACGACGAGGCGGUGCAGGCGCUCAAACGGGCUGGCAAGGAUGUGACUCUGGAAGUCAAGUACAUGCGAGAGGCCACGCCGUAUGUCAAAAAGGGCUCACCUGUGUCUGAGAUCGGAUGGGAAACCCCUCCACCUGAGUCGCCGCGUUUCGGCAGCCCUCCCAUCACCACCUCUCCUUCCUCCCCGGAAACUCGAAGUCCUCCUCAUCCUCAGCCUUCCUUGUCCCUGCAAGGCGAUAGGAGAUGCAUUCCACUUAAAAUGUGUUACGUAACCCGAGCCAUGACCACGGCAGAUCCAGACAACAGACAAGUGGAGCUGCACUCCCCUGACACCAGACACACUGUGGUACUGCGCUGUCCAGACCAGCCAUCUGCCCUUACUUGGUUCUCCACAAUGCAUGCUGUCACAUCAACACUGACUCAGCAAGCACUAGCCGAGGUGAUUCAUCACACAACCAGGUCAGGGGUUGCUGGCAGCAAAGAGAUCCGACACCUGGGAUGGCUGGCAGGGAAGCAAAGCGAGAGUGAGAAGCAGUGGUGGAAACCUGUGCUGGUGGUGGUGACGGACAAAGACCUGCUGCUCUAUGACAGCCUGCCACGGAGCAAGGAAGCCUGGCAGAGUCCAGCACACACGUAUCCUCUACUAGCGACGCGUCUGGUGCACUCUGGGCCUGACACGGGGUCCCCUUACUCGGGCACCGAGCUCUUCUUUGCCACUCGAACCGGCACUCGCCUUGGAAUCGAGACUCAUCUUUUCCGAGCUGAAACCAGCAAGGAUCUAUCCCUGUGGACUCGACAAAUAGUCAACGGCUGUCACGCAUCAGCCGAGAUGAUCAAAGAAGUCAGUACCAGUUGUCUUUACCUGGGUCAGGAGUCCCGGCUGGUGAUCCACUACGAGCAAGGUUUCUCCGUGUUGGCUGAACCCAAAGUCCAAGACGUUGAGAACGGGAACAACGGACGACGCCAUAGUCCAACCAAAAUCCGAGUGCUCCUGUCCUACCCUUUCGAAAAACUGAGGAUGUCAUCAGACGAUGGAGUUCGAAUGCUGUUCCUGGACUUUGGAGGAAAGGAAGGGGAAAUUGGCAUGGAAAGCACAUGAUCAUCCUCUUCCUGUGUCCCAGUUCUAAUCUGUUGAUGGACAAGAGGACGAUGGAUGGAUGAUGCUUUCAUGCAUAUUGUGCUAAAAAACACAAUAAGCAUUGCUGCCAGCUGCCUUUUUCAUUUCAUCAUGGAGACCUCGAGAUGUCUUCAGAUCCUGAGAACAAACAGUUUUUGAUCAAGCUAAGUGAAAAUUUGAAGUCAAAGCUCAAAAGUUUCUUCUACAACAUACAGACUCUAAUAAGUACAAAAUUUGUUUGUUUUUCUAAGCUGUUUUUGUUUUAAAUCCAAUAUUCUAAAAAAUCUUUAAAAAAAAAACUCGGUGUGGUUAAUGUCGUAAUUAGUUUAUGAUGUAACAGUGGGGCAAAGGAAGAAAGAAAUCUAGCUUGCAGGAAGUUUUUCAAAAUGAGGCAGAUAACCAAUAAUCUACUUGGUUGUUUAAUUUCACACUAUUUGUUUAGAAAGAAAGAAAAUCAACUUUCCAUUUUGCGUGCGCCUUUAAAAUGGGAGCAAAAAAUAAAUAAUGAAUAUAUAUUUGGAUGAAAAGCAAGGGAGUGUUCCCAUUGGGGUUUAUUUGUUGCACACAUUGGUAACAAAACAACGACAUAUGGUGGACACUACACUCGUGGCGGGAGGGAGCCAAAGCACUAAAAGAGAGUUCAGAGUGAACGAGUGGACAGUGCUGAGUGUGUGUGGGCACCAACCUUGAGAAAGAAUUUGGAGAUAUCAAACAGUCUCUUGCUGCAAGCCUCAAAGCAUUUAUGCUCGGCACUGAUCCCGUGCUGUUUGAGCGUUUUAACAACUACCUCCUGCAGCAUCUGAGGGCAACAGAGGACACACACAUUUUCAUGGACACAAUACUAAAACCUUAAAUCUACUCGUUAAUUCCCUCAUCGGCAAACGUCAACUUGGUUCAAAGAAACUCAUUUUAGCAAGGUUCCUUCUUAAAGAUUGCAUGUCAAAAUGUCACGACUCUGGCGAAAGAUGGCCUUCCUCAAAAGUGUCUUUAAAACGACUACGGGAGGCUCUCAGGUAAAAGAGUUGACAGCACACAUUCAAAAUUAAAUGGAGCCACUUUCCCUCUUUAGACAUCAGAUGAUCUGAAUAAACAUAAUAAAUCACACUGGGGGAUCAUCGGUGCUUUUCCGUUCCACAAAGCAGACGUUUUUCAAUCACUGUGUUGAAUUGACGGCUGUCGUUAUUGCUGAAUUGCGACAACUGCUUUUGUACACGUGCGGAGGACCUGCACAUUAGUAUUGCUGACUGCACACAUCACCUGUUAGCAUAAUGUCUACAGAUCGGAACAUAUCAAGGUCGGGAUUCAGCCGGCGACGUGUGCGCAGGUAAUAGUGAGUGUGUGGUCAUGCAUCGUUUCCGUGCGAGUGUGUGUGUCUACACACAUAGUACCUGCGGGCUGUAAAUAAUCAGCAAGCACAGCAUGUGAUAACAUGCUAAACAUGCCUCAUUUAUCUUUGCUAAAUCUAUUAUAGUUAUACGAUCCUCAUUUGUUGGAUGGACAUUAGGUGAAUUUGUUGUCGGCCUCCAGUGUAGGAGUUUGCGUGCUUGUGUGUUAGUAAGUGGUACACUUGAUUUAAGGCUUUUAUUCAUCAGUUUUCAGGGGGUCUGCAUAAUGUUUUCAUUUUGAAAUGGCUCUAACAAUGAAUUUCCGACACACAAUGUGGUAUCGUAUUUAUAAAUCUGUUGAUGCCGUUUUUCUUUUUUGUACAGAUCUUAAAAGCAACAUUUUCAAAAGAAAAUGACUCAAAAAGUGUUAGGUAGCAAUAAUAACGGAGAAAGUAAUGAAACUAAAUUGCAUUCAUUUCUUAUCAAAAUACACACACACACACACUUACCCUAUUGUGUUUCUGGGAGCGCGAUUCCUUGGCAUUUUUAUCGUCUUUUGUUUGUUUGUGAUCAGUCUUCUGCUCCAGGGCUUUAAGUUUGUCGGCUGAAGACUGCUUCAGUAAACCUAAGAAUAAACCAAGGCAAACCAUAAAGUAAUACAUUAAGGUAGUUACAAUAAAAUGCUGUCUAAAGUACCUUGACUUAACAAUGCCCCAACUACAAGUAAUUCAAGUUACGAGUCGUCACGUGAUCGUUUUUUUGCUCGGAGUUGAAGGACAAAAUUUAAGCCAGCUUUUAAUAAGCUGCCACUCAGGUAAAAGAUGAAAAAAAGAUGGACUAUCAAUGAGGUUCAUUAAAUGGGACAAGCGUCAAACACAAGAAAAUGAGAACAGUCACAAAGACUCGAAAUGACACCAACCCCUGACAUCACCCACAUACCUAAAAGGCAUACCAUCCCAAUACACCACAUUCAACCUGCCAAUACCGUAACACCAUUUCAAUACUUACAGUCAUGUAAAUACCAGUAAAGAUUCUUUAUUUGAGAUUAUCUUUCAUUCUGCUUUUUUAUGAGCUACAUUUUUGGCCGGUUAGGUUGAUUUGACUAUACCAGAUGAUGUUCUCGAAGCAGAAGAGGACGAGGGAGUGGAAGAGGAGACCGAGUGUGAUCUGCUGGGCUGCUGCCGUUGCGACUUGAUGCUUUUUCUAGAACAAGUACUUACUGGAGUAUUCUUUAACCACUAGUGCUUGGACCUCAGCCACCUUCCGCUCUCUUCUCAGAAGACCGUCUCCUUGGAGACAAGGCAGAGAGAGGAUGUCGCUUCGAAUGCCUCCUGGAUGGAGAAAAAGUGGUGAAUGGAAAAAGGCCAGAGAAAUGAGAAUGGCAUUACCAGUCCAGCUGAGAAUGUUCUUUGUAGAGCUUCAUUCACGGGACAUAUGACACUGGCUUAAACUACAUUACAUCUUAAAGCAAUAUAAAGUAUAGUAAAAGCCCCAAAUUCAAAAAUGGCAGUAACCUCCAAAAAGUGUGAAACAUGUUUUUCCACCCGAACCAAAACCAUCAUGUUGUCAUUGAGAUGACUUGCAGUGAAAACUCUGCUGACUCACAGCACAAGAGUCGGGGCAUAUUUUACGGUACUUUACAAAUGUCUUCUGAAGGUUGCAUAAAAUGUUAACAAUGGUAGAAACUUUCUUGAAUAUCAUUUGCAGCCUAAAAGCAGACAAGGACAUCCAUUAAAACAAUUUGUCAUGCUUAUGGAGAAAGUACUGAUGUGCAAAUGAUUGUCUACUAGAGCUGAAUGAUUUUGAAAAAAAAAUCGAAUUGUGAUUUUUUUUUUCCCAUUGCAAUUUAUUUGGCAAUUAUUUUUCCCAUUUGUUUUUUAAACAAACACAAUCUAUGAAUUAAUCUGUACAACAAUAUAAAAUGAAUUGUUAUCUAUUUUAUUCCAACUUUCUCACUUAAAGGAGAGAUCAGAUAUCAUCUGACAAUUUAAAGUGUUAUUUCAUCCAAUUUAUUUUUAUUUGUAGCUGCAAACAUCUUGUUAAAAACCUCACUUAGCAUGGCAAUUAUUUCUCCUCUUUCAUUUACUUAUUUAUUUAUUUUGUGCUUUGGUUUUGAUGCUUUAUUCAUUUUUACUUCCAAUUAUUACAUUCUAAUUUCACUCAUCUCUUAAUGAAUCAACUUAUUUUUGGCACACACAACCCCGUCAUCUUAUCCUUUUCAAGAAGUGAAGGCAAACAAAACUGCUGGCAUUCAUUUUACCCCAAGUCGCAAACAUUGACGUGAACAACUCUGCCCUUUGAAAUACUCUUCAUGGGUCUAAAAUGUUUUCCUCACUGUUAAAUGAAAGGAAAAAUAAAUGAAAGUACAAACA